GACGAACGCUGGCGGCGUGCUUAACACAUGCAAGUUGAACGGUAUGACAUGGAAGCUUGCUGAAGUGUCAUAUAGUAGCGGACGGGUGAGUAAUGCAUGAGAAGCUGCCAUUGGGAGGGGGACAACAGUUGGAAACGGCUGCUAAUACCCCGUAUGCCGGAAGGUGAAAGGGAGCGAUCCGCCCGAUGAGGUGCUCAUGUCCUAUCAGCUGGUUGGUGGGGUAACGGCCUACCAAGGCGACGACGGGUAGCCGGCCUGAGAGGGUGAACGGCCACACUGGAACUGAGAUACGGUCCAGACUCCUACGGGAGGCAGCAGUGGGGAAUAUUGGGCAAUGGGGGGAACCCUGACCCAGCGACGCCGCGUGAGGGAAGACGGCCUUCGGGUUGUAAACCUCUUUUGUACGGGAAGAAGGAAGUGACGGUACUGUACGAAUAAGUCCCGGCUGACUACGUGCCAGCCGCCGCCGUAA
rnacentral:rRNA from 1 species